rnacentral:rRNA from 1 species
UACGUAGGGGGCUAGCGUUGUCCGGAUUUAUUGGGCGUAAAGAGCUCGUAGGUGGUUCGGUUAGUCGGAUGUGAAAUCUCCAGGCUCAACCUGGAGGGGUCAUUCGAUACUGCCGUGACUAGAGUUCGGUAGAGGAGUGUGGAAUUCCUGGUGGAGCGGUGAAAUGCGUAGAGAUCGGAAAGAACACCAACGGCGAAAGCACUCUGCUGGGCCGACACUGACACUGAGAGACGAAAGCUAGGGGAGCGAAUGGG